GGUUAUUUACUCUAAUUUUCAUAUGUACGUAUAUGCAUAUCAUGGGAUCAUACCAUAUAUUUAUACCAUAUAUACAAUCAUACUAUGUAUCAUGCCAUAUAUGGGUUUCAUAGAGUAUAAUUUUUUUUUGCUUGUUUUCCACAUGUACUUUUUUUUUUAAUCUCUUUUGUUCACAACCUGGUAUGUAUCAUACUUUUUUCCACACUAAUACUAAUCUCCUACCCCCACCUCUUACCCACCCAGGGGUUUAUUAUUCAUUUUUUACUCAUUCAGCUUUGUGGCAUUACCUACAAGUAAACUAGAAUAGCUCCAAUUCAGUCUCUUUAGAAGUAGAUAAUAGACCCUGGUGUGGAUAGACAUUCACUAAAUUGCCAGUUUUUUGGUUUUGCUUUUGAAUUAUAAAUCAUCUUAAACCUUUUUUUCCUAUAGCCUUAUGUAUUGGUACAUGUAUUUCUUUGAGCUAAAUCCUCAGGGAUGGAUUGUUCGAUGGGUACAUGCAUUUAAUAAAUUCCAACAGAUUUUUCCAGAUUGCUUUCCAAAAAAACUUCUAACAAUUGACAGUUUUAGAAGCAAAAUGUAAGAGUACAUGUUCCCUCAAUUCAUAUCACGAAAAGGUAUGUUUACCUUUUAAAAAAUUUCCAAUUGGAUGAGUCUAAGUUGAUAGCAUAUUAUCUUAGUCUGUGUCUCCCUUAAUAUUAAUGCAUUUCAGCAUCUUCUCCUAAGCUUACUGGCUAUUUGAUUUGCUUUUUUGAAAAUUGUUUAGUUGCAUCCUUAUCUGUUUUUCUACUGGCUUGUCUUUUUCUUGAUAAUUUGUAUAGGAUCUUAAUAUGUUAUUGAUAUUAAAAAUGAUUUUCUUCAAUAUUUAGUCUGCAUCAAAAUUGUCUCUGAAGAUUUUAACAUUUCUCUGAAGAUUUUAAAGUUAAGUGAACAAAUUGAAACAGAAAAUGGAAUUUAUCAAUUGUGUAUCAGCUAUUGAAAGCCUCAAAUCAAGAAGCCUGGCUGGAAAAUUGCCAGGAGAAAGUAUGUCACUGGAGCUCUGGGCUACCAUUGUCCCGCAGGGGCUAAGUAGAUGGGAGAACAAGGACAGACGGAUGGGAGCACAAGGACAGAGAGGGCCAGGAGUCAGAAGAGGGUCAAGCCCAAGAGGAAAGAUCAAGGCUGAAUCCCAAAGCCAGUGAUGAGAAUUUAGGAGAGAAAUAAAUCAGCAAGUUGGGGUCAGGAACUGAGAGUGAGCAUAGACAGGGGACUGGCUGGUUAGAAGAGGGCUUGAGAGCAAAAAGAGAGAGAGAGGCAGACAGACACACACUGGGAAGAGUGAUGGUGGGGACACCUGUCAGCAGCCCAGAAAAGAUUCUGCAAUUCAGGAUGGUGCAGCUUCAGCAUUCCUUAAUUCACAUGUGUUCUUCCAAGAAGUACUUCUGCCUUCAUUCUUAAAGGCUUAGAUGACAGCUUCACACAGCAUAAAGAUGGUAUUAGGCUUAUCCCUAUUUUUACAGAGAAGACAGCAACCAAGACUCACAGAGGUGAGGUGACUCGAUCUAGAGAGGAACAAAACUGAGAUUUGAACCUGGGUAUGCCACAAUCUGACAUUCAUUUUCUUGUUAGUACAUACCUUUACCUGGAACGGUUCUCAGAUCUACUCCAACUCAACAAAUUUCAGAAAAAUGAUUGUCCAAGGUUUAGAGACAGACAGGUCCUCUUGGAUCUUUUCUCUGGCAUCACUUUCCUCUUGUCUAAAUAUAAUGGACAGGGUAAGCGGAAAUAGUGGUUUACAACUCUUUAUGCCACAUGGCCCCCCUCAAGUUGCAAGUUACCAUCGGUGGAGAAAUCCCUAUUAGGAUUAGGGAGGGUUUAGGCAUGAAUAUGGACCAUUCUGGUGUUUCCUUUUUUCCUCAUUUCUUCUACCCUAACCUGUCCUUAUUCUUUACUCAUCUACCUCAAUGUAGAUUACUUUUGCUUAAUAAGCAUUUUGAGGAAAGUUAAUUCUUAACUGCUUCUGUUAAAUUAUUUCGAGGUCAGCUGAUGCACUGAAAGGGCACUGGGAGGAUUCCAGGACGUGGAUUCCAGACCUUGCAGAACUAACUAUGCAGCCUAAUCUAACUGCUCAGGACCUCAGUUUUCUUACCUGUUAAGGGGUUGAAUUGCAUGGUUUCUAGAAUCUCCUGAUUUUAAUGUUCCAUAGUUCUGACUUUGUUACUUAGUAAACAAAUAUUUCAAAUUUACUCUUGCACACCUUAUUUCAUUUUCUGCCUUUGUUUUUUUUUGUUGUUUUUUGUUUUGUUUUUUAUUUUUAUUUUUUUUGAGAUGGACUCUUGCUCUGUCACCCAGGCUGGAGUGCAGUGGUGGGAUCUUGGCUCACUGUAACCUCCGCCUGUUGGAUUCAAGCGAUUCUCCUGCCUCAGCCUCCUGAUUAGCUGGGAUUACAGGCAUGCACCACCAUGCCUGGCUAAUUUUUGUAUUUUUUUAGUAGAGAUGGGGUUUCACCAUGUUAGCCAGGCUGGUCUUGAACUCCUGACCUCAGGUAAUCCACCUACCUCGGCCUCCCAAAGUGCUGGGAUUACAGGCAUGAGCCACUGUGCCCAGCCCAUUUUCCGCCUUCCAAACAAACAUUCCUUGAGCACUGUUACAUGCUAGAAACAGUCAAUGCAUUGGUAAUAGAAACGUGUUGUAGAAGAGUGCGUACUCACUGGGGGAGGCUUAUAGCAUUAAUUAAAAUGUAAUUGUCAAAGCAGCAUGCCAAUGCACCAUUGGAAAACAGGUGAGGAUUAUACUACAUCUUGGGGAUGUGAGGGAAGGCUUUGUGUAGAACACAAUGUGUAAGUCAGGUCUUGAAGAAUGAGUAGUUAAGUAUUGCUGAGAGAUGGGCAAUAUCAUCAUACUCAUCAUGGAAGACAUAAAGGUGAGAGGCAUGCCCAAAGCUGCAUGGUUGGUUUAUGGCCAAAUUGGGGUCAUUGCCUACUACUUUCCACUGUCAGGCCUGAGUUUUUCCUUGGCAUCACAGCCUCUGUCUUUGGUAGUGGAGGGCUCUUGUCUGCAGAGGCUUGACUUAAGAGAGUUAGGUACAGAACAGUAAGUUCCGAAUCUUCUAUUAAUGCAGCUAUUGAUUUGUGGGAGGUGUGGUGUUGUCUUCAACAGCCUCAGCCUGUCUGCUAAACUAAGAGCAGGAAUAAAAUCAUAUAUUAUACGUGGGAAGAAGAGGAGGCAAUGAAAUUAUGUCUUAAAACAUUUCUGGAAAGACUGUGUAUACUAGGGGUGGGGAGCUUCUAACAGUGAACUGUGGAAAUAUUUACAUGUAUCAUAAAGAUAGACAUGGAAAAUAAUUAUGAAUUCCAGAUAUGUUCUCCUUUAAAA
rnacentral:lncRNA from 10 species